AAACCCUGAGAUAAGAUACAGUAGCUCAUCUAAGAUCUUACUUCUUUUCCUAAGACCUGAAUUUCAGACUUCAUUAAAUCUUUGCCAGUACUUCUGCUGAUAACAGAGGGUAGACCAAGAGAAAAGGAGAAGAGAUGGGCUCCAAAGAUCUGGACCAUACUGGAUCAUAUUGUUACAAGGAUAGAGAAGCUCCUUCUACCAAUAUAGUGUACACUUUGGUCAAAUAACUGUGGUCCCAGGAAGGGACAUGCUACAGAAAGAGCAACAAAGAAUAUCAUCAGUUUAAGCCAUGGAUUAAAAUCAUCACUGUCACCCUUCCUGGACUUUUCAUCUCAUUUUUGAACAAGAGAUAGCCUUCACUUGGAGCAAGUGGAGGUGAAAAAGACUCUAAGAGCUGUGAGCCCAUCAUUUGGAAUCAUCCCAAUUCCUUGACCUGGACUGUUUAUUCUUUUCCAGCCAUAACAUUUAUCAUGCCAAUUCCCGGGCCUCCCUGAACUCUGAGCUUUGACUGCAGCUGGGUGG
rnacentral:lncRNA from 1 species